AGUGUCGUAAGGGUGCGUAACGGGUAUGCAAUCUGCCCUGUACAGGAGGAUAGCUCCCCGAAAGGGGAAUUAACCCUCCAUAAGAUCACACGAGGGCAUCUGAGAGUGAUUAAAACUGAGGUGGUACAAGAUGAGCAUGCUUCUGAUUAGCUAGUUGGUGAGGUAACGGCUCACCAAGGCGAUGAUCAGUAGGGGAACUGAGAGGUUGAUCCCCCACACUGGCACUGAGAUACGGGCCAGACUCCUACGGGAGGCAGCAGUAGGGAAUAUUGGACAAUGGGUGGAAGCCUGAUCCAGCCAUGCCGCGUGCAGGAAGACGGCCUUCUGGGUUGUAAACUGCUUUUGCCUGUGGAUAAAAAGACUCUGCGGAGUAAAUUGAGGGUAGCAGGUGAAUAAGCCACGGCUAACUACGUGCCAGCAGCCGCGGUAAUACGUAGGUGGCAAGCGUUGUCCGGAUUUAUUGGGUUUAAAGGGUGCGUAGGCGGUCUGUUAAGUCAGUGGUGAAAUACGGCAGCUCAACUGUCGAGGUGCCAUUGAUACUGGCGGACUUGAGUACUGAUGAGGUAGGCGGAAUGGACGGUGUAGCGGUGAAAUGCUUAGAUAUCGUCCAGAACACCGAUAGCGAAGGCAGCUUACUAAGGAGUAACUGACGCUGAGGCACGAAAGUGUGGGGAUCAAACAGGAUUAGAUACCCUGGUAG
rnacentral:rRNA from 1 species